rnacentral:rRNA from 1 species
AGGAUCAUUACAGCGAAACGGCGCGAGCCGCCUUUCGAACCACCGCGUACCGAACCCCCCACGUUGCCUCGGCGGGCGCCGGGCGCCCCGCGCCCGCCGAACGGCCCCCCCAGCAAGACCCCUUCCGUCGAGAUGGCGUCGUCUGAACCCUCCGGGGAAAACGUUUUUGAAACGAAAAACACAACUUUCAACAAUGGAUCUCUUGGCUCCGGCAUCGAUGAAGAACGCAGCGAAACGCGAUAGCUAGUGUGAAUUGCAGAUUUCAGUGAAUCAUCGAGUCUUUGAACGCACAUUGCGCCUCUUGGUAUUCCUCGAGGCAUGCCUGUUCGAGCGUCGUUACGCCCCUCAAGCGCGAGCUUGGUGUUGUGGGACGCCCCUGAGACACGGCGGCCGCCCCGGAAUGCAUCGGCGGUGCUGGUCCCAGCCCGGAGCGCAGCAGACAUGCGGCUCCGCGGGCGGGCCCGGCGCCCGCCGGACAAACGACGAGACCCCCCCACGAGUCGAC